ensembl:rRNA 5S_rRNA 5S ribosomal RNA
GUCUACAAUCAUGCCACCCUGAAAAAGCCCGAUGACAUCUGAUCUUGGAAGCUAAGCAAGGUCAGGCCUGGAUAGUACUUGGAUGGGAGACCACCUAGGAAGACCAAGUGCUGUAGGUG